rnacentral:rRNA from 1 species
CUUACACAUGCAAGUCGAACGAUGAACCUCUUUCGGGGAGGGGAUUAGUGGCGAACGGGUGAGUAACACGUGGGCAAUCUGCCCUGCACUCUGGGACAAGCCCUGGAAACGGGGUCUAAUACCGGAUAUGACCACCGGCCGCAUGGUCUGGUGGUGGAAAGCUCCGGCGGUGCAGGAUGAGCCCGCGGCCUAUCAGCUUGUUGGUGGGGUGAUGGCCUACCAAGGCGACGACGGGUAGCCGGCCUGAGAGGGCGACCGGCCACACUGGGACUGAGACACGGCCCAGACUCCUACGGGAGGCAGCAGUGGGGAAUAUUGCACAAUGGGCGCAAGCCUGAUGCAGCGACGCCGCGUGAGGGAUGACGGCCUUCGGGUUGUAAACCUCUUUCAGCAGGGAAGAAGCGCAAGUGACGGUACCUGCAGAAGAAGCACCGGCUAACUACGUGCCAGCAGCCGCGGUAAUACGUAGGGUGCGAGCGUUGUCCGGAAUUAUUGGGCGUAAAGAGCUCGUAGGCGGCUUGUCGCGUCGGAUGUGAAAGCCCGGGGCUUAACCCCGGGUCUGCAUUCGAUACGGGCAGGCUGGAGUUCGGCAGGGGAGAUUGGAAUUCCUGGUGUAGCGGUGAAAUGCGCAGAUAUCAGGAGGAACACCGGUGGCGAAGGCGGAUCUCUGGGCCGAUACUGACGCUGAGGAGCGAAAGCGUGGGGAGCGAA